rnacentral:rRNA from 1 species
AUUGAACGCUGGCGGCAGGCUUAACACAUGCAAGUCGAGCGGAGAUGAGGUGCUUGCACCUUAUCUUAGCGGCGGACGGGUGAGUAAUGCUUAAGAAUCUGCCUAUUAGUGGGGGACAACAUUCCGAAAGGAAUGCUAAUACCGCAUACGUCCGACGGGAGAAAGCAGGGGAUCUUCGGACCUUGCGCUAAUAGAUGAGACUAAGUCGGAUGAGCUAGUUGGGGGGGUAAAGGCCUACCCAGGCGACGAUCUGGAGCGGGUAUGAGAGGGUGAUCCGCCACACUGGAACUGGGACACGGCCCAGACUCCUACGGGAGGCAGCAGUGGGGAAUAUUGGACAAUGGGGGAAACCCUGAUCCAGCCAUGCCGCGUGUGUGAAGAAGGCCUUAUGGUUGUAAAGCACUUUAAGCGAGGAGGAGGCUACUGAGACUAAUACUCUUGGAUAGUGGACGUUACUCGCAGAAUAAGCACCGGCUAACUCUGUGCCAGCAGCCGCCGUAA